rnacentral:rRNA from 1 species
AAUAGAUACCCGGGUAGUCCUAGCUGUAAACGAUGAGCACUGGGUUGAGGGGACUUCCACAUCCUCUCGGCCGUAGCGAAAGCGUUAAGUGCUCCGCCUGGGGAGUAUGGCCGCAAGGCUGAAACUCAAAGGAAUUGACGGGGGCUCACACAAGCGGUGGAGGAUGUGGCUUAAUUCGAGGCUACGCGAAGAACCUUAUCCUAGAUUUGACAUGUUUGAGAAUCUCCUUGAAAGAGGAGAGUGCCCUUCGGGGAGCUCUUUCACAGGUGCUGCAUGGCUGUCGUCAGCUCGUGUCGUGAGAUGUUGGGUUAAGUCCCUUAACGAGCGAAACCCUUAUCUUUAGUUGCCAGCGGGUCAAGCCGGGGACUCUAAAGAGACUGCCGGUGUCAAACCGGAGGAAGGUGGGGAUGACGUCAAGUCCUCAUGGCCUUUAUAUCUAGGGCUGCACACGUCCUACAAUGGCACGUACAAAGGGAAGCCAAGCCGCGAGGCCGCGCUAAUCCCAAAAAGCGUGCCCCAGUUCGGAUUGCAGG